CUGAAGACCAAGUCACGGCAAGGGGCUUCUCAGCUGGAUAAAACGCCAACAUGACUUAGCUUAUAGGAACUUGGGAGGCCCCCGAUCAAGCAAAUCCACUCCCCUUAAUUGACCUGGCUGGAAUUUUUGCCACAGAGAUUACAAAACUGGGAGCAAUUAGCUGGAGAUAUUAAUAGGUUCUGUCAUGUAAAGUAUUUGUAACAAGCCUUCGGUUGAAUUCCAAACUGAGAGGUUUUACUCCUGGAGCCAAAGAAGGCUUUGUUCUGGUUGACAUCACGAAAUUAUUUUUAGGGUCCAAGUCUGCUCUGGCAAGGGGACUGAGGGUUCACUGUCCCCUCCUCCUGCCUCCAGACCUCUUGUGCCAAUGCCACCUCCAUCCCUUUUCUUCCCCAGAGCCAGACAUGUGCCUGGACGUGACUAGGAAGGGAUGAAGGUUUCAAGAGAAUCAGUCCCCGGUGGGCUGCUGUCUCUGCAUGGCUUAGAGGGGUGGGACAAGGAACAUCACCCGACUCAAACUAGGGCUGAGCAUGUUUCCCCAGCUGGAGGAGAGGGUUUCCAGGAAGAGCCUGUCCCAAGGAAGAAUUUUUCUGCUUUGGCCUGGCAUGACCUACCACAGGGAGAAUUACUGGGAGAAAAGAAUCUGAAAAUAACCCAGGAGAUUCCAAGAUCCAACGAAUAACCAGGAAUAGUAGCAAGGAAGACACUAAGGGACGGCAGCUAAGAAACAACACAGUAACUGCCUGUACAACCCACGAAUGUGCUCGGAUAUUAAGACUGACCCUGUGAAAGGUGGAAGCCAAGGCCGGUCCACGUGGAUGAGGUCAGGGAGACUCAGGGCCACCGUGAGCUGUGGAUUGUGAAAUGUGUCAAACAACAAAAUGGACUAUUUGGAGUAAGGAAAUGACACCAAAAUAAAGCCAGUGCUUGGGAAAGAUCGUGUAAU
rnacentral:lncRNA from 1 species